rnacentral:lncRNA from 1 species
UCUUGCUCACUGGAUAACACACAGCAGGUGCAUGAUUCUUUCCCUUGCUUGUGUUUCACAUAAUUUUGUUGGGUUUUUUUUUCAGUAUGAAGACUUAUAACGUUUCUUUUCUAAAAUGAAGACUUGAAGAGAACUGAUUCACUGACUUUUCCUUCUGUUGGCCCUGACUUCCUGGGCUGCUGGAAAGAAGUAAUAGAAGAAAGAAAAAAGUGGAAAGAAGAAAAGACAUCUAAUGUGAGGAAAAACUGGGCAGAAUUCGUGUGUGUGAAGAAGGAAGGAGCAAAGCAAGAGGAUUUACUGUGAUGCAGAGCAGCCACCCCACUUCUAUGUUAACAAGGUUACUUGUGUGAAUAUCACUCGGCUGCUGCAUUUCUUUCUUCACUAGACCAAGUUUUAAUUGGAACUCUGCCACAG